rnacentral:rRNA from 1 species
GACGAACGCUGGCGGCGUGCCUAACACAUGCAAGUCGAGCGAGGUCCAAGGAAGCUUGCUUCCUGACGACCUAGUGGCGAACGGGUGAGUAACACGUGAGAAACCUGCCUCGGAGUGGGGAAUAACUCGGGGAAACUCGAGCUAAUACCGCAUAUCUUCACAUGAUCGCAUGGUCGAGUGAAGAAAGAAUUUCGCUCUGAGAGGGUCUCGCGGCCUAUCAGCUUGUUGGUGGGGUAACGGCCCACCAAGGCAACGACGGGUAGCUGGUUUGAGAGAACGAUCAGCCACACUGGGACUGAGACGCGGCCCAGACUCCUACGGGAGGCAGCAGUGGGGAAUCUUGCGCAAUGGGCGAAAGCCUGACGCAGCAACGCCGCGUGCGGGAUGACGGCCUUCGUGGUUGUAAACCGCUUUCAGCAGGGACGAAAAUGACGGUACCUGCAGAAGAAGCCCCGGCUAACUACGUGCCAGCCGCCGCCGUAA